CGCACCAGUCUCGUCCGCAACCUCAUCCGCGAGGUCGCUGGAUUCGCUCCCUACGAGAAGCGUAUUACUGAGUUGUUGAAGGUAGGCAAGGACAAGCGUGCUCUCAAGGUCGCCAAGAGGAAGCUUGGUACCCACUUGCGUGCCAAGCGCAAGAGGGAGGAGAUGACCACUGUGUUGCGCAAGAUGCGCGCUGGUGGUCACGCCGAGAAGAAGAAGUAAGGGCAGUUUGCGUUUCGGAGAUUAGGGUUAGUCAUUGGGACUUUUGGACUGAGGGUGGAGAUCUUUUGUUGAAACUUAUUUUGGCCGUGCGCUAGUGCUGCAAUAGAAUAAACAGCUUCUGUCAUGAUGUAGCUUUCGCCCUCUUGGUACCUAUUGUUGGUGUUUCAAACCUCUGGCCAAGCCUUACCUGCUGAUGAUUCUUUCACUUUUUCUGGUUUUGUAUGUGAGUUGUAUGUACGUGUUCACUUUAAACCUCUACACAGGCAAACUUUUGUCUGAUGAAGUAGAAAUGGAACUAGUGAAGGAGUAGAAUUGCUUUGUACAAUUUCGAUGCAUGGCAAAAAUUCUUUUGGAAAUCUAGUUAAAAGUUUCGAU
rnacentral:lncRNA from 1 species